rnacentral:rRNA from 1 species
UGGGGAAUAUUGGACAAUGGACGAAAGUCUGAUCCAGCCACGCCGCGUGAGUGAUGAAGGCCUUCGGGUCGUAAAGCUCUGUGGGGAGGGACGAACCGCCGAUGGCUCAUACCCAUCGGCAUGACGGUACCUCCUUAGCAAGCACCGGCUAACUUCGUGCCAGCAGCCGCGGUAAUACGAAGGGUGCAAACGUUGCUCGGAAUUAUUGGGCGUAAAGCGCACGUAGGCGGCUAUCUAAGUCGGAUGUGAAAUCCCUCGGCUUAACCAAGGAAGUGCACCCGAAACUGGAUAGCUUGAGUACAGAAGAGGAUCGCGGAAUUCCCGGUGUAGAGGUGAAAUUCGUAGAUAUCGGGAGGAACACCAGUGGCGAAGGCGGCGAUCUGGGCUGAUACUGACGCUGAGGUGCGAAAGCGUGGGGAGCAAACAG